rnacentral:rRNA from 1 species
CGGACGGGUGAGUAACGCGUGGAAAACCUGCCGUAUACUGGGGGAUAACACUUAGAAAUAGGUGCUAAUACCGCAUAAGCGCACAGCUUCGCAUGAAGCGGUGUGAAAAAACUCUGGUGGUAUACGAUGGUUCCGCGUCUGAUUAGCUAGUUGGUGGGGUAAUGGCCUACCAAGGCAACGAUCAGUAGCCGGCCUGAGAGGGUGAACGGCCACAUUGGGACUGAGACACGGCCCAAACUCCUACGGAAGGCAGCAG